GUAAUUGAUCUUUUCGUACCCGGCACUGCCUUCCAGAGUCACGGUGGGCCGCCAGCCCGACAGCGCCUGCGGCAC
rnacentral:tRNA from 1 species